rnacentral:rRNA from 1 species
CUGGCGGCGUGCCUAACACAUGCAAGUCGAACGAGAAAGUGGAGCAAUCCAUGAGUAAAGUGGCGACCGGGUGAGUAACACGUGACUACCUACCCUUGAGAGGGGGAUAACCUCGGGAAACCGAGGCUAAUACCGCAUAAUAUCGUAAGAUCAAAGGAGCAAUCCGCUUUUGGAGGGGGUCGCGGCUGAUUAGCUAGUUGAUGGGGUAAUGGCCCACCAAGGCGAAGAUCGGUAUCCGGCCUGAGAGGGCGCACGGACACACUGGAACUGAAACACGGUCCAGACUCCUACGGGAGGCAGCAGUGGGGAAUUUUGCGCAAUGGGGGAAACCCUGACGCAGCAACGCCGCGUGGAGGAUGAAGCCCCUUGGGGUGUAAACUCCUUUCGACCGGGAAAAUAAUGAUGGUACCGGUGGAAGAAGCACCGGCUAACUCUGUGCCAGCAGCCGCGGUAAUACAGAGGGUGCGAGCGUUGUUCGGAAUUAUUGGGCGUAAAGGGCGCGUANGCGGUAUUGUAAGUCACCUGUGAAACCUCUGGGCUUAACU